UCGGGAAUUUUGUGCAAUGGGCGAAAGCCUGACCCAGCAACGCCGCGUGAAGGAUGAAGUAUUUCGGUAUGUAAACUUCGAAAGAAUAGGAAGAAUAAAUGACGGUACUAUUUAUAAGGUCCGGCUAACUACGUGCCAGCAGCCGCGGUAAUACGUAGGGACCAAGCGUUGUUCGGAUUUACUGGGCGUAAAGGGCGCGUAGGCGGCAAUUCAAGUCAUCUGUGAAAUCUCCGGGCUUAACUCGGAACGGUCAGAUGAUACUGCUUUGCUAGAGUGCAGAAGGGGCAAUCGGAAUUCUUGGUGUAGCGGUGAAAUGCGUAGAUAUCGGAAGGAACAUCAGUGGCGAAGGCGACCACCUGGACUGAUACUGACACUGAGGUGCGAAAGCGUGGGGAGCAAACAGGAUUAGAUACCCAAGUAGUCCCUGAGCGGGCUGGCAAGGCGCAU
rnacentral:rRNA from 1 species